UUAAGAUAGCUUGCCUAUUUUUAUGAAGAGCGGCGAACGGGUGAGUAACGCGUGGGAAAUCUGCCGAGUAGCGGGGGACAACGUUUGGAAACGAACGCUAAUACCGCAUAACAAUGAGAAUCGCAUGAUUCUUAUUUAAAAGAAGCAAUUGCUUCACUACUUGAUGAUCCCGCGUUGUAUUAGCUAGUUGGUAGUGUAAAGGACUACCAAGGCGAUGAUACAUAGCCGACCUGAGAGGGUGAUCGGCCACACUGGGACUGAGACACGGCCCAGACUCCUACGGGAGGCAGCAGUAGGGAAUCUUCGGCAAUGGGGGCAACCCUGACCGAGCAACGCCGCGUGAGUGAAGAAGGUUUUCGGAUCGUAAAACUCUGUUGUUAGAGAAGAACGUUAAGUAGAGUGGAAAAUUACUUAAGUGACGGUAUCUAACCAGAAAGGGACGGCUAACUACGUGCCAGCAGCCGCGGUAAUACGUAGGUCCCAAGCGUUGUCCGGAUUUAUUGGGCGUAAAGCGAGCGCAGGUGGUUUCUUAAGUCUGAUGUAAAAGGCAGUGGCUCAACCAUUGUGUGCAUUGGAAACUGGGAGACUUGAGUGCAGGAGAGGAGAGUGGAAUUCCAUGUG
rnacentral:rRNA from 1 species